GCGGAUAUUUUUGCACCAAUGCAUUAUUAAUCAAUUACUCCUUCAGUUCUUGAUAACUUGUUUAAAUAUGUUGGUAUAUGGGAUAAUAAUGCUAAAGUAAACGAAGCCGAAAGUAUAGAUGGGCAUGUCAGUAACAAUACAAUACAUUCUGUUUUACCUUUCAAAGCAUUGACCUUCGCCCGUUUCUCCUCCAGUUUCUGACUCAAUUCUUCCUUCUCUCGAAGUUUUAGUAACCUGGCUUCUUCGUGGCCUAAUUGCUCGAUUUCUGCCUUUAUCGCUUCCGUGUCAUCUUCACUUUCUGCCGAAAUUUCCUCUAUAUCAAACUGGAUGAAGACGUGCGUUUUUUGACCUUUGAAGAUACAUUUGGUGGUGCGAUGCCUACUGUACUAGACGGCUCUCCCUCAGAUUCUGCGUCUCCUUCGUGCAUCUUUUUGUAAUCUUUCUUGAUGCCGUGUCGUAAUUUCGGCAUGACAAUCUGUUGUCUUCCACGAUAAUUACAGAUCUGACUAUUGGCUCGGAAAAUUACUCCAACUGUUAAGUUUCCAAACGAAACAAAUGUCUCAGAUGGGUAAAACGUAUCUGUUCUCGUAUCCUCUAAAGAACACUUCCCUUUUGUUCACAUACGAAACACUCUUUAAUCAUAGUUUAUUGUUCCACAUUUUUGGAGCGAGUACUCUCAAAACACUUCAAAACAUAGUCUAAUGUUCAAAAUUUUUAAAAGUAAGCCCAAUGGGCCUACUUGAACGAAAAUACCUUCUGUUGUCUCUCUAACUGUGGCUGUAAUAACUAUUCAAAUCCAAAUAAUUUUUAUCUCUGAGUUUUUCAAACUACUACCAAUUUUAGUCUUUUAGACUUGUGACACGUAACUAGAAAUUUCAACAAGUGGCGCCAAAAUUGUGAGCGUCGUUAUAUAAACUAGUCAACCAAUAAUAAUAAUUUUAACAAAGAACCAAUCAGCGAGAGAGAUUCACGAGGUUGGCUAAAAAACUUAACGACUGGAAAGAGAAACGUGAUCGUCGUUAAUUAAUUAUUUUAAAAAGAUUUAAAAUAUACCAAUACAAUACAAUACAAAUUUUAUUUGAAGUCGGUGCAUAAAUCUAUAUUUAAACAGGAAAACAUUAGCUAUGUAUAGCUAUUUACCGACAUAUGUCAAAUGUGACUUCUGUCCACAUUGGGUACACCUACAGUACUCACUGUGGGGAAAUGAACACCGGAUAUAGCUCAGAAAGUGAUAAGUAAACAGGCAAAUGUGCAGUUGUUUUCCUUUACCAGAGGUAAGAUCUUGCUGUAAUAACGCUUAUCUACCGUGUCCACAAAUGAAACCAGUGUUUGAACUCAUAGCUGAAUGCUAAAUUUAGACUUUGGUGUAUUGUAUAAUGGUCACGAUUUAGCAGAGCAUGAAAACUUUUACUAAAAAUCUGAGAUGAUCACCUCAGAAUUCACAGAAUUUCUACAAAUAUUGUUAUUUGUAAGAAAUAUUUCGAAUAUAUUAAAAUUCUGAAUCGUACAAUUUUACGAGCAUAAGCUGAACUAUUUUUAUUGUAAGAAUUGGCAAUGUAACUUUUAAACUGUUAAAGAUAUGCCCUUAGAAAUGUUUACAGAACUGUAAUGGGGAUAGCCGUAUUAUGUACUGAGGAUAGUUUCCAAGUUGACAAAUGUGUACUGAGGAUAGCAUAUAAAAUGAGGGACAAAAACCCUGUUUUCUGAUUGCUAGUAACACUGUUCAUGUACAAUAUUUGUCUUUUUCAAACUUUUCAAUUACUAGGUCUUAUUACAAUGAGAAGACAAUUAAAACAUGGAUCUACUAGUAUGUAAUGAUCCAAUAUAUUGCUGACUGUAACUGCUUGAUCUGUGUUAUCCGUAACAUAAUUUUUCAAUGAAUUUCGGAUCAAGAUAUCAACCACACAUCUUGAGGGGCAUCUGUGGCCGAGUGGUUAAGGUCACCGACAUCAAAUCAUUUGUCCCUCGUCGAUAUGGGUUCAAGCCUCAUUUGGGGAAUUGAAUUCUUCAUGUGGGGAAGCCAUCCAGCUGGCUUAUGGAAGGACAGUUGUUCUACCCAGGUGCUCGUUCGUGAUGAAAUAAUGCACAGAGGGUCACCUGGUGUCUUCUUCCACCAUCAAAGCUGGAAAGUCGCGAUAUGACCUAUAAUUGUAUUUCAAAUUUAAUCUAAGUAACAAUGAAUUUGAUCCAUGCUCUUCAAAAUCAACGUCUAUAAGCAAGCUGCUUAAAUAUCAAGAAUGGUCGCAAUAUUUAGUUUCUCUCUGUAGUUAACAUGCAGAUACCAUUUUUCUGUUCUAAGUAACAAGAGACCAAAACGCAAAGCACGGUCGUAGAAAAGGCAUCAAGUGUAUCAAAUUAGAUCCUAGCUGAUGACCUCUAUGUGCAAAACGUGCCUACGUGAUUUACAAAGCUAUACCAUAUAUAGCAAACACCAUGUCAUUUCUAAGGCCAUAUAUUGAAUGUUCACUGUUAAACCUAUGUUAAACCUAACCCUAACCUUUAGUCAGUGUAUAGUACACUCAAUACGUGCGUACAUCCAAUAGGGGCGAUUUAAUGUUGACGCAAUGUUUUGAGUCCCUCGAUAAAUCAGAUUUAAACUUGAUACUAUAUUCAAAUAUUUGCGACUCAAACGUUGAGGCUUGUGCACACUACCGUUAACUAAUCUAUACUCGUGAACUCAAUAUUGUUUACCAAUUUUUAACUGAUUUGAAAUCAAAGCCUUGAAAUGUCUGUUGGUUGCGGGUUUUGGUAGAUUUAUUUUGUUUGAAUACCAGUCUAUGAAUAUACAUGAAUGAGAAACAAAUACAAAUUUAAUGUCCCUCAUAUCUAAGAUGAACUCUGCGAUGUAACCAUGGGCUGGAAUACCUUUUCAUUGAUAGAUCUUAUAUAACCUAAAUGGUCAAUGUGAGUGGAUACAGGUUGAAUAGGAACUGCUUGUUCAUUAAAUUGAUAAUUCAUCAGCGUUGUUCAUGAAUGGGACUAUUUUGUGUAGCACAUGAACAUCCUUUAGAUGUGAUUCGGAAUAAAAUAAAGAUGCUAUAUGAUUGUCAGAAAUACACUUGUAACUUUGGUGGCGGGAUAUACCCGCAACCAAAAAGGAUACUUAUUUUUGUGGACAAAAUCUAUUUGGGUUGAAAAUUGCACAUUGGAAACUAAGGGAAGUAACUGAAUCCCAUUUGUUAAUGCAAUAUUUACUCAAUUCGACCAACCAUUGCAAGUAUUGCUCUGGAAGGCCGAACAGUUAGACAAGUGGACGAAAAGAAAGACGAGCAUACCGAGAGUUCAGAGUGAAACUGUUUUAAGUACAUACAGAUUUGUUUUUUUUUUUUAAAAACACUUUUACCCUCAUCUCUCGAUAUGGACAAUGGUUAAAUCAUAUCCCCACGACUAACCGUAGAGCUGAAAAGCCGUAAUCAUUAUCGCAGUCUCAUUAUUCAAAAAGGAUCGUUACUAUCCUCAGUCCACUUAAUUGCUAUCCCCUGUGCAGUUAUUUUAUUUGCUCCGUCUAUCCUCGGUACACUUUCAGGUCAUCAGAAAGCACAAAUAUCUCCGCAACAACAUAACGUAUCGUAUUGAUAUCUAACAGAAUACGGGACAAUAUAAUUUCAAUAAAAUCGCUCGAUUCAGUUUUUACUCUUAUUUUCUAUUUGUUGUUUUAUGUUAGAAAUCCUACCGCCUUACUGAACAUUUGUUAGUGAUCAUGCAGCUUUCAUCGAAAAGUGCACUAUUAUACAAGAAAGGAGACUCAUUUCCAUUAUAGACGUACAUUGCAUAUGAUUAAGCUAUUCAAAACUCUUCAAUUUUGAUAAAUAUAUCAACAUAAAAUACAAAAAAUGAUGAAAAACUUUCCGUGAGUCAAAAUAAAACGUUCAUUUUCUUAUCACUUUUUGAGCUAUAUCUGGUGUCCGUUUCCCCACAGUGGUACUGUACUCCACUCCAGUGAAAGUGCUCAGGAGGGCUUCUAUUUUUAGAUGUGCCCACAGAUGUUCACUUCGAGAAUAGAAACAAAAACACUACUGUAUAGUGUGAAUGAAUGUGUAAAUGAACAGUUACUUCUAUGAUAUUUUCCAAAUUGACUGGUAUAAAUGGGUGUUAGUCAAAAUAAUUUGACGUUCAGACAUACAUGGGUGAGAUGGGGUGGGUAUGGGAGGUUGUGGGAAAAAUUUUGCAAAUUGCACCAUAAAUGACACGAUUUCCUUGCAUUUAAAUUCCAUAUAACAAGUUAUAUCAACACAUUAUUUGUGCCAAUUUUACCAAGAAGCUCUAUUUAAGCAAUGCUUGAAAUAAUUAUGAAAAUCACUAAAGUUUCAAAACGUUUCAUUGUCUUGCUAACAGUAGACAUUCAUAUUAUUUAUAAAACAGUGCAACUGUAUUAAUGUGUUUGAAGCUUAUAAUAACAUAUUUCAAUGAGCUUUUCUUGCCAGGCAUCAAUCAUCGUCAGAAAAAAACUGAAGCAACGAACCAUUUAUAAAAGGGGUACAAACAGGAAAGAGAGAUGUAAAAGACAAAUAUUGGUCGUUUAUUUUUCUAUAAAAUGUAAUUGCAUACAUAUUCUGCAUAUAUAUUCUACAGAUAAUAUUUUUACCUGACGUGCUUUUGAUAUGUUACCUGCUUCAUAGUUAUGUCAUACUAUUGUCAAACAAUAUCGGCCCUCAAGUAAGGCACAACUGCACCCUUUACAAAGUUUGAGUAUAGACAAUUAUAUCGAAAAGUUUACACUUUUGCUCGAGUACAAAUGACGAGCGGCCACCCCACACCAAACAGAUAAUCCCCAAUUAACUUAUUGAUUUUUGACACUUUGCGUGCUGCUCGCUGAUAAUACACGUGUCUCUGGUAACGCUCCAUCGCUUUCUUUUGUUUCGCCUCUCCAAUUUUGCAUAAGCGUAGAAAGUUGAUGACAAAAUCUGGACAUUUUCAAAAUAUUUGAAACACCGUCUUGCAGUUACUGGCCGAAUUAUUGGGGCGGCAACUGCUGCCCUAGUCGCAACACCUCUGGUAAAGUGUAGGCAGCAAUGAAAGUUUCAUUGGAAGUUGCUCCAACUAUAUUGGUCAUUCGAGUGUUUGAUGCGAGUGGGGAUAUUGCCCAUAUGAAAAAAAUAUCUCAGUAAUUCCUAGGAUCGCGUCAAAUUAGUUGGACUAAAAUGGGUGUAAAAGUGCCUUGUUUUAACUUUUCAUGUGUUUAUGCAGGCGUUAUUCUUUAACAGUUGAUGCGGUAUGGUAUGGGAUUUUAUACCGUGAAAAUAGAAUUAACUCCCCUUACGAAAGUGACCCUCACCUUGAUUUAAACAAAUGCUCGGAAUGUGAAAUUGCUGAUUUCUAUUGACAUUUGAAGCCAUUAUCCCUUGAGUUAGACAAGAUAGUAUAUAUUGAAGACAACAAAUAGAAAAGGGAAGACAUAGACAAGUAGAUAGAAGUCAAAGAAAAUGUACUAGAUCUAUGUGUGAUUUGAAUGAUGUAGAGAACAAAUUUCAGUUUGUUUUAAGAUAGUGAAAGAAAAUUUUAAGUCUGCAUUUUAAAAGCAUCUUAGUAAUAAACGUUUCAAUUUCAGUAAUUAAAAAUAAAAAAAUAAAAGUUUCAGGGUUCCUACGCUAAAAUGGGGUCAGAUUUUGAGGAUGGAAAAAUUCACCCCGUUUAAAAGCGUUAUAGGCAUUCACUGUAAAAAUUGGCCCGUUUUUAAGGACUCAAAAAUUUUACCUAUUUCACUACGUUUCCGGUGUGCAAAGAAUAUAAAACAGUUAUAAAAAAAUUUAGAACAGUGACGCAAAGUCUCUGAAAUACAGUGUCUUUUUUUAAUGUGUCAAGUGAUUUACUUUUGCUUAGUUCUAACGGCAGUUCAUUCCACAGUUUUGGACCAGUAGUGUAGAAAUUUCUAUCAUUGAAUGUUUUGCACUUGUUGAACAUGGAACAACAUAACGACAUUCAGAAUUUUCUGACGAUCUCAAACCUUAUCUACUAGGAUUAUACCGUGUAAGCAAUUCUGUUAAAUACAUUGGUGCUCUGCCAGUGUGACAGCUAUACAUGAAAGAAAGUAUCUUGAACUCAAUCAUUGCUUUCACCGGCAACCAAAAUACCGGUAGGUCAUACAACUCUUGUUUAGAACUGUCAAAUUUCCUCCUGUGUAGGACAAGUUUUGUGCACAUGUUUUGAAUACUUUGCAUCAUAAGCACCUCACCAUUAGCUACACCAUACAGUAUGACAUUGCAGUAAUCCAGAUGUGAAAUAACUAGAGACAAAACCAAAAUUUCAGUGGCCGCAUUUGUUAAAUAUUUACGGAUGUUCUUAAUUUUCAGGUAGUUCAACCUGGCUGUACGAAAUUUGCAAUUUACAUCAAGGUUUCAUCAAGAAAUGCCCCGAGAUAUCUAAUUUUGCUUUCAUAUUAAUUUUAAUAUCAUCACCCACAAUGGUAAUCGAAUUUGUAAAACAUUUGUUAUAAUUGAGGUCUGCUACCAAAUAUGAUAAAUUCAGGUUUUGAAGUGUUCAUUUUCAAUUUGUUUCUAUUCAUCCAGUCUUUGAUUAUAACUGCGCCCUGUUCAAGUUCUGAGCUAUUGCUUGUGAUUGAGACUUUUAUUUGCUAUAAUUAUGAUCAUCAGCAAAACCGUAGAUUGAUACGGAUUUUGGAAUAACAUGAAAAAGAGUUCCAGCAUAAGUGAGAUACAACCACGGACCAAGGCAACUGCCUUGGGGCACACUGCAUUCAAGAUGGCGGUCUAAUGAAUAUGCAUUAUUGAUAUUAAUCUUACAAGUUCGAGGCCUUUAAGUAGGAGUCUACCCAUUGAAGAGCUGUUUCACAGACACCAUACUGUGCUUUCAGGAAAUCUAUAAGAAUGUUGUGGUCGACAGUGUCAAAUGCCGCACUUAAGUCAAUCGCAAUAAGGGCUGUGACUUCCUGUUUCUCCAUACCACUUAGAAGAUCAUUAACCAACUGAAGCAGCGCAGAUGCAGACUAGUUCUUAGGCAAAAGACUAUUUUGAUUUACAUGUUUGUUUAAUCUGUAAAGAACAGCUUUCUCAAUAAGUUUUGAUAGAAAUGAUAAAUUACUCACAGGACGAUAAUUGGAAACCUCUAGUUCAAGACCUGUUUUUUUUAGCAAAGGUCUAACAACAGUUACUGCUUGUUUGUAUUUCACAAGAAAAAUACCUUGAUGUAAUGAGAGAGUUACCAGUUUAGUGAUACUAGGGAGAAGUUUAUCUACAUGUGAUUUCAGAAUAUGUUUUGGAAAUUUUGAUGACAUAUACAGUUUUGCACAUGGAUCUUAAAACUGACUUUCAGACCAUGAAUGUGACCUACUGACCUGCUUUCUUUAAAAGGUAGUGUUGCACGUUUGAUAUACCGGAAGUGAUGGCGUAACGUCAUUUAUCCGAAAAACGUAGAAUAAAGCCUAGAUUCGGCGUACGGAAAUGAAAAUCAUUUUAUGAAUUAAUCGAAACCUGUGAGUACAUUUAUUGCAAUGGCACUGUUUCUAUAUUCCUAAUGUCAGAAUAUGAUAUUAAAACAUAUGACACGUUAAAAAAUUCAAAAUAAUGUCUUAAAAUUGGCGUGAAUUUUCCGGUUCGCUUUAAUUAUUUCAAAAAUAAGCACAUGGACCUAUACAUUUUAUUUAACCAAAUUAUAGGUCAUAUGUUUAUUUACAACUGUGAGAAGUUUCAUCAAAAUCUACAUUGUAGAAACAUUUCUAUGCGCGAAAAUGUUAUGAAAGUUAUGAUUUUCCCAUAGACUUCCAUUAUAAAAUAUUGCAUGAGGUCCAAAUUUUUCAAACCAGUCCAGCAAAAAAUCAAGCACACAACCCUAUCUUUUUUAUUUGCUGAAUUUUCUAGGUAUAUUCUGAAGUUUUGAAAAAUCAAGAGUUUAAUCAAAUUCUACAUUGUAGAAAAAAAAUUGAUCCAAACGUGCAGAAAUACCUUAAUAUUUCAUUGAAACAUGUUCACUCAACUUGGAAAAGAUUUCAAUGCUAACUUAUAUUUGACUUUCUUUCUUGAUCUCUUACACUUGUCCAUGUAGCUCCAAUUACUCAGGUGAGCGAUCCCGGGUCAUCACGACCCUCUUGUUUAUGAAGAUCUUGAGUAUUUUUAUCCCCCGACGAAAGUCGGAGGGAUAUAGUUUUGGCAUUGUCCGUCCUUCUGUCCGUCCGUCCGUCCGUCCGGAGCCAUAUCUAGGAAAUGGUUGGGAAUAUUUAUUUAAAACUUCAUAUACUUGUUCACCACUAUGAGUUCUUGCGGCCCGUCAAGUUUCAGUCAGAUUGCCCAAGUAACACCAGAGUUAUGGCCCUUAGAAGUUUCUAGUGUUAACUGUAUAGGGUACUAUAAAUAUUGCAAUUUCUGCAUCAUAACUUUUGAUAUAUUCGACCUUGAACUAUGAAACUUUAACAGAAUUUAGAGCACUAUAAUGUGGUUGUGCACACACAAUUUCGUAUGGAUUUCUUUUGUAACUGCAGAGUUAUUGCCCUUUAAUUGUCUAAAAAUCCACAUAUUUGUACAUAACAAACUUGCCAUUUGGCAGAAUAUCAUUAAAUUUCUUUCAUUCUUUUCUGUGAACAUUUAUUAUAAACAUGUGAAGUUGCGCACCCACACCUGGUCGCCCACUUGCCUUGGUCACCCGGGGUGACCCCGGGGUCAAAAUUGACCCCGCCCCAGGGGUCACUUGAUUUUACAUAGGAAAAUCUUUAAAAAUCUUCUUCUCAAAAACCAGAAGCCCUAGAGCUUAGAUAUUUGAAUUGUAGCAUUGCCUAGUGGACCUCUACUAAAUUCAAAUCAUGACCCCGGGGUCAAAAUUGACCCCGCCCCAUGGGUCACUUGAAUUUUCUAAAAAUAAACCAGAAGGCCUAGAGCUUAGAUAUUUCACAUGUAGCAUUGCCUAGUAGACCUCUACAAAAAAUUUUCAAAUCAUGACCCCAGGGUCAAAAUUGACCCUGCCCCAGGGGUCACUUGAUUUUACAUAGGAAAAUUUUCAAAAUUUUUCUUAAAAUAAACCAGAAGGCCUAGAGCUUAGAUAUUUCACAUGUAGCAUUGCCUAGUGGACCUCUACAAAAUUUGUUCAAAUCAUGACCCCCGGGGUCAAAAUUGACCCCGCUUCAGGGGUCACUUGAUUUUACAUAGGAAAAUCUUCAAAAAUGUUCUAAAAAUAAACCAGAAGGCCUAGAUCUUAGAUAUUUGACAUGUAGCAUUGCCUAAUAAACUUCUACAAAUUUUUUUCAAAUCAUGACCCCCAGGGUCAAAAUGACCCCGCCCCAUGGGGUUACUUCAUUGUACAUAGAAAAAUCUUCAAAAUUUUCUAAAAAUAAACCAGAACGUCUAGAGCUUAGAUAUUUCACAUGUAACAUUGCUUAUAGUGGACCUCUACAAAAUUUGUUCAAAUCAUGACCCCGCCCCAGGGGUCACUUGAUUUUACUUAGGAAAAUCAUUAAAAAUUUUCUUAAAAUAAACCAGAAGGCCUAGAGCUUAGAUAUUUCACACGUAGCAUUGCCUAGUGGACCUCUACAAAAUUUGUUCAAAUCAUGACCCCUGGGUCAAAAUUGACCCCGCUCCAGGGGUCACUUGAUUUUACAUAGGAAAAUCUUCAAAAAAUUUCUAAAAAUAAACUAGAAGGCCUAGAUCUUAGAUAUUUGACCUGUAGCAUUGCCUAGUAGACUUCUACAAAAUUUGUUCAAAUCAUGACCCCCGGGGUCAAAUUGACCCCGCCCCAUGGGGUUACUUGAUUGUACAUAGAAAAAUCUUCAAAAUUUUCUAAAAAUAAACCAGAAGGCCUAGAGCUUAGAUAUUUGACAUGUAGCAUUGCCUAGUGGACCUCUACAAAAUUGGUUCAAAUCUUGACCCCCCCCAGGGUCAAAUUGACCCAGCCCCAGGGAUUACUUGAUUGUACAUAGGGAAAUCUUCAUAAGUUUGCUAAAAAUAAACCAGAAGGCCUAGAUCUUAGAUAUUUGAUAUGUAACAUUUCCUAGUAGACUUCUACAAACUUUGUUCAAAUCAUGACCCCCCGGGUAAAAUUGGCCCCGCCCCAGGGGUUACUUGAUUGUACAUCGGAAAAUCUUCCAAAAAAUUUCUAAAAAUCAUCAGUUUGACAUUAGAAACAUGUAGCUCAUAUUACUCUGGUGAGCGAUCCAGGGUCAUCAUGACCCUCUUGUUUUUCAUUUUUAUUUUUCCAUCAAUAUUUAUAAUCAACAUGUGAAAUUUUGUUUCCUCUCCCGUUCCCCCGCACCCCCACACCCUUAAAAAAUAAAUAUAUAUACAUAUAUAUAUUUCCAUUCCUUUUUUUUUUUUUUUUUUUUAAAUGUUCAGACCUUCAAUAUGUUAAGUUGUGACUGCACAAGCCUUGCCCUCAGUCAUGUUCAAGAUAUCUUACCAGUGUUCUCAUAAGGACAUCUGUUUUUUUAAGUUCAAAUGUACAUGUUAAACAACAAUUUAACACCUGGUGCCAAACCACUCAAAGACAAUAUUUCGUUCCAGUUAAACUUCAAGCUCAUAUUUCAAUUAACUGCAUUUAAUUUUAAAAGCUAAGCUUAUUACAGUAAGCAUAUCCCAUUCAAAAUAAAUUCUUUAGUCAGGAUCAAAGUAUCAUACAUUUAUCAUGUACUCUUUAAUUAAACAUUUGUUUUCUGUUAAAUUGAUUUUGACUAAUGAAAUUAUUUGCUUCUUAUUAACAUCCUUAACUUUUUGCUGGAUAUAUUUUUUUGCCAUUCCUCACCACAAACCCUUUCGGCGGGGGAUACCAAUUCAUCGAAUUUGCUUGUUGUUCUUAUUGUAAAAUCCAGAUUUUCUUCACAGACAGACUGGUAAAGAUAAGAUUUUAAUAUAUAAACUGAAUAUUCCCUUAUAUACAUUAUGUAAGAGUUUCAUCCAUUUUUGUUUUGCUGAUAUAUGAAGAAAUUAGAGCAUUUUGAACACAACACCCCUUGUACUAGUAUAUAAGUGAUGUAGAUUUGCAUUAAAGUAAAUAUUUUUUGCAUCGUAAAUAUUGUCUUAUAUUCUUUUAGUUUGUACUUUAUAAACUAUUGUUUAUGUAUGUCAUAAGGUAUAAUUUUAGGAAAUAUCUCUUCUUUUUGUAGAGAUAUAUAUGUGGUGGGGCUUGUUGCUGUAUGCCAUGGCCAAACUAAGAAGUUCAGACUGUUUUUCACAUACUUGUGUUCCUCAUGUAUGGCUUGAAGGAUUGUUACAGGAAAAGGUGAAGCCACAGGAAAACAAAGAAAAAAAGCUACAUACAAAGAAUUCCAGACAUACAGGGUUGUAGAUCUUUGUAGGAUCUUGUUGUGAGAUGUAGGUAGCAGAUUGAAUGUAUAAUCCGAGACCAGGGAACAACUGGACUGAGUAAAAGUUGUUAUGUAUGAACCAGACACAAGGAGUAUAAAGACACAAUGAAAAUAUUUUGCGAUACAAGGUUGAUAAGGAACCUUCGACGUACCAGGAACCACUGCUGCUGGAAUUGGAAACAUUUGUUACUGGGUACAUAAUAGAUUACUUUUCCAUUGCAUUGAAAUACAGUAAAACCUGUCUUAACCAGCUAGCCAAGUGAGUAGGAAAAAGUGACUGCUUAAUGCAGCCAAGCAGCUGUCCAGCAAAGUUUAUUCUGAACACAGGCAGCUAUAAUAAACUGUUGGGAUGUCAUAGUCUCACAUGCUAAACCAAUAGCCUGAGAGGCAUUCUGUCCCUGCUUCCUGUGGCUGGCAAUGACUGACUGGUUGAAGCACAUGUAUCGGGUAGUUACAGCAGAAGGCUACACAGUACACAGAAGAUUCCUGUAAUAAGCUACUAUACCAUCAAUGUAGAGAGUGAUGUUUCUUACUUCUGCUCAUAUAAAAAUGAUACAUCUGGUGGUACACAUAGAAUUGUAUGACCCUAACUGGAUUGUCCAGUAAGACAAAAUGGCUCCUGAUGCUGAGGUCCAGCUUUCUCAGGAACAGAAAAAGAUGGAUUAUUAUGCAUACUCCAGUUACAGAUUUGCAGUAGCUGUCAGUAGCCAAGAAGAACCAAUGGCCAUUCUGAAUAAAAGACCCACAUGAUCAGACAAGUUUGCAAGAUGACAAAUCCAUGCAAAGUGUGCUGACAUUCUGCCAAAGAUUCAAGUCUGGAAAUAUCACCGACAGACUUUAGACUCUUUGAUUUAGAUUUAAGAUUAAAAGAUGAUUGUGACUUAAGACUACAUGUAUUAUUAUCAGUAGUUUUCAGUCAAAGGCUUUUUCUGUUGUUUUUUUUUUGUAUUCUUUUUUCAACAUUUCAAGGUCUGGAAAAUGACAAUAUUGGAUAUAUGUUUUUAUCAUAAAAUAAAAAAGUAGGUUUUCAUUGUUUACAGGUGUAUGGAAUGAAUAUUUAUAAAGUGACUGUGUCUUUAAGACAUUGGGUGUUGUCUGCUAGAAUGCAGUAAUUAGUAAUUUUGUUUUUGAAAAGUUUUCAGGAAAUUUUAAAAAUUCCUUAUUUGUAAAGAAACAGAUCUUUUGAUACGAAGAUAUGUGGGAACAAAUUAAAUAACUUUUACAAAGAAAUUCUUCAUUUAUGUCCCGAGUCACAUGUAUCUAAGAUAUUUGACUUCCAUUUACUUACAACUGUAUUGCAUGAUGUUUUAGCAGUCAAAUCAUAACUGCAAAAAUGUUGUAACUUGACUUACUACACUUUUAUACUUCUUACUUUUUUAUUGGUCUGUAAGUUAUUUCCACUGAUAUCUAUUAGAUCUACUACUACAGUUUUACAUUUGACAUAAAACUAGAAAUGAUUCUUUUCUAAUUAUGUUUUUGACAAUUUUGCCCAUCAGUCUAUAGUUAAACACAUAAUUUUGCUUGACUAAAGUCAAAAUUUGGAGAUAAUGGAAAGAUAGAAAUUUAUUUCUGAUGCCAUGUAAUAUAACAUUUAUUGAAUGGCAUGUGAACAUUAUUCAAAGUUAUUACAUGACUCUUUAUAUAAAUCACCAUGCUACAGUUUGUGCUAUGUCUAUAUUCAUGAGAUUUGUACUAGACUACUACCAGUUAAUAAAAGAAUUAACAAGAAAAGUAUGAAAACUGAUUACUUAUAAAAUACUAAAGCUAAUGGCUUGCAAGUCAAUAGUCAAAACUAUUAUAUUUUAUCAGUUUUUUUAUUCUGGGUUUGCUGAUAGCAGUAUUAUUAGUUUUGACUAUUGACCAGCAAGUCAUUCAGAAAGUCUAUGACCAUUGGUCCCUUUGGACCUCCAUUAAUAGUAUACAACUUUCUACCUU